rnacentral:rRNA from 1 species
CGAUAAACCAGCUUGCUGGGUGGAUUAGUGGCGAACGGGUGAGUAACACGUGAGUAACCUGCCCUUAACUCUGGGAUAAGCCUGGGAAACUGGGUCUAAUACCGGAUAGGAGCGUCCACCGCAUGGUGGGUGUUGGAAAGAUUUAUCGGUUUUGGAUGGACUCGCGGCCUAUCAGCUUGUUGGUGAGGUAAUGGCUCACCAAGGCGACGACGGGUAGCCGGCCUGAGAGGGUGACCGGCCACACUGGGACUGAGACACGGCCCAGACUCCUACGGGAGGCAGCAGUGGGGAAUAUUGCACAAUGGGCGAAAGCCUGAUGCAGCGACGCCGCGUGAGGGAUGACGGCCUUCGGGUUGUAAACCUCUUUCAGUAGGGAAGAAGCGAAAGUGACGGUACCUGCAGAAGAAGCACCGGCUAACUACGUGCCAGCAGCCGCGGUAAUACGUAGGGUGCGAGCGUUAUCCGGAAUUAUUGGGCGUAAAGAGCUCGUAGGCGGUUUGUCGCGUCUGUCGUGAAAGUCCGGGGCUUAACCCCGGAUCUGCGGUGGGUACGGGCAGACUAGAGUGCAGUAGGGGAGACUGGAAUUCCUGGUGUAGCGGUGGAAUGCGCAGAUAUCAUGAGGAACACCGAUGGCGAAGGCAGGUCUCUGGGCUGUAACUGACGCUGAGGAGCGAAAGCAUGGGGAGCGAACAGGAUUAGAUACCCUGGUAGUCCAUGCCGUAAACGUUGGGCACUAGGUGUGGGGACCAUUCCCACGGUUUCCGCGCCGCAGCUACGCAUUUAAGUGCCCCGCCCUGGGGGAGUACGCCGGCAUGCUAAAACUCAAAGGAACUGAACGGGGCCCGCACAGCCGCGGAGCAUGCGAUUAUUUCG